GACGAACGCUGGCGGCGUGCCUAACACAUGCAAGUCGAACGGGGUUAUCCUUCGGGGUAACUUAGUGGCGAACGGGUGAGUAACGCGUGAGAAACCUGCCUUUCAGUGGGGGACGAACAGUUGGAAACGACUGCUAAUACCGCAUGAUGUUAUUUGGGGGCGAUCCCUGAAUAACCAAAGCUUUAUGUGCUGAAAGAUGGUCUCGCGUCUGAUUAGCUAGAUGGCGGGGUAACGGCCCACCAUGGCGACGAUCAGUAGCCGGUCUGAGAGGAUGAACGGCCACAUUGGGACUGAGAUACGGCCCAGACUCCUACGGGAGGCAGCAGUGGGGAAUAUUGGGCAAUGGGCGAAAGCCUGACCCAGCAACGCCGCGUGAAGGAAGAAGGCCUCGGUUGUAAACUUCUUUACCUAGGGACGAAGGACGUGACGGUACC
rnacentral:rRNA from 1 species